GCGGGUAUGGUGGAAUUGGUAGACACGCCAGACUUAGGAUCUGGUGCCGCAAGGCGUGGGGGUUCGACUCCCUUUACCCGCA
rnacentral:tRNA from 4 species